UGCCUGGCAGUCUAGUGGUUAGGACUCAACACUUCCACUGCUGAAAGCCCGGGUUCAAUCCCUGGCUGGGGAA
rnacentral:tRNA from 1 species